CCCUUAGAUGUUCUGGGCCGCACGCGCGCUACACUGACGAAUGCAACGAGCUUAUAACCUUGGCCGAAAGGUCUGGGUAAUCUCCAAAUUUCGUCGUGAUGGGGAUAGAUUAUUGCAAUUAUUAAUCUUCAACGAGGAAUGCCUAGUAAGCGCAAGUCAUCAGCUUGCGUUGAUUACGUCCCUGCCCUUUGUACACACCGCCCGUCGCUCCUACCGAUUGAAUGGUCCGGUGAAGCGUUCGGACCGUGGCCUUUGGACGGUUCGCCGUCUGUUGGCUGCGGGAAGUUCGUUAAACCUUGUCAUUUAGAGGAAGGAGAANUCGUAACA
rnacentral:rRNA from 1 species